AUUGAACGCUGGCGGCAUGCCUUACACAUGCAAGUCGAACGGGCUUUGGGGCUUGCUCCAAAGUUAGUGGCGAACGGGUGAGUAAUAUAUCGGAACGUACCCUAGAGUGGGGGAUAACUAGUCGAAAGACUGGCUAAUACCGCAUACGAUCUAAGGAUGAAAGUGGGGGACCGCAAGGCCUCAUGCUCAUGGAGCGGCCGAUAUCUGAUUAGCUAGUUGGUGGGGUAAAAGCCUACCAAGGCGACGAUCAGUAGCUGGUCUGAGAGGACGAUCAGCCACACUGGGACUGAGACACGGCCCAGACUCCUACGGGAGGCAGCAGUGGGGAAUUUUGGACAAUGGGGGAAACCCUGAUCCAGCAAUGCCGCGUGAGUGAAGAAGGCCUUCGGGUUGUAAAGCUCUUUUGUCAGGGAAGAAACGGUGGGGGCUAAUAUCCCCUGCUAAUGACGGUACCUGAAGAAUAAGCACCGGCUAACUACGUGCCAGCAGCCGCGGUAA
rnacentral:rRNA from 1 species